CUGUUCCAAGGCCAAUUGUACCCGUGGGAAGCUGAGAGCACUUGUAAAUGACAUGUGUCCCAGUUGAUUAGUGAGAGCAGAGAGUCCAGGGCUCUUCUUCAUUUGCGUAUCUCCUCUCUAGAACUGAGACUACUCCUUGGGCUCCUUGAAGUCAUGAAGACUUUUUUGCUAACUUUGGCUGCACUAUUGCUCUUGUCCCAGGUUGUUCCAGGCAGCCCCGAAAAAUGCUGGAAUCUGCAUGGCUCCUGCCGUGACAAAUGUUCCAAGAAUGAAAAAGUCUAUGUUUUCUGCGUGAGUGGUAAACUGUGCUGUGUGAAGCCCAAGUUCCAGCCAAAUUUAUUUCCAAAAGUCAAUUAGUGCUUUAAGCAUGAAGACACAAAAGCGGAAGAUAACCCUGCCCUAAGUCUGACCUCAGCAGAUUCCUGAGUUUUAUUAUUAAAACAUUUUGGCUGA